rnacentral:rRNA from 1 species
CGGUGUUUAACUGGCGUGAUGUGGGACGUCCUACCGGUAGGCUUAGCCUCGCGAGGGGCGGCCCAACUAAUAUCCCGUCGCGGUGCUCUUUACUGAGUGUCGAGUCGGGCCGGUACGUUUACUUUGAACAAAUUAGAGUGCUUAAAGCAGGCUAUCCUCGCCUGAAUACUGCGUGCAUGGAAUAGUGGAAUAGGACCUCGGUUCUAUUUUGUUGGUUUUCGGAACCCCGAGGUAAUGAUUAAUAGGGACAGAUGGGGGCAUUCGUAUUGCGACGUUAGAGGUGAAAUUCUUGGAUCGUCGCAAGACGGACAGAAGCGAAAGCAUUUGCCAAAAAUGUUUUCAUUAAUCAAGAACGAAAGUUAGAGGUUCGAAGGCGAUCAGAUACCGCCCUAGUUCUAACCAUAAACGAUGCCAGCUAGCGAUCCGCCGAAGUUCCUCCGAUGACUCGGCGGGCAGCUUCCGGGAAACCAAAGCUUUUGGGUUCCGGGGGAAGUAUGGUUGCAAAGCUGAAACUUAAAGGAAUUGACGGAAGGGCACCACCAGGAGUGGAGCCUGCGGCUUAAUUUGACUCAACACGGGAAACCUCACCAGGCCCAGACACCGGAAGGAUUGACAGAUUGAUAGCUCUUUCUUGAUUCGGUGGGUGGUGGUGCAUGGCCGUUCUUAGUUGGUGGAGCGAUUUGUCUGGUUAAUUCCGAUAACGAACGAGACUCUAGCCUGCUAAAUAGGCGUACCUUAUGGUAUCGCGAAGGCCCCCGGCUUCGGCCGGUGGGUUUUUACUACCAACGUACAAACAAAUCUUCUUAGAGGGACAGGCGG